AAGGACAGUGUGCUGCUGUGACCACUGAGGAUUUGAGCGAAGAGCUUCAGAAGGUAAGGAAGGACAGCUGGACCACGAGAGCCUUCCUCGCGUGUGUUGCUGGGCUGGCUUCGCGGGCGGGAGAGAGAGACGACCAGGGACUCAUGGCUGAGUGGUACACAGAUUACGUUUCUUGAUGACAAAGAAACAGCUGCUAAGCCAUCAAUAUCAACAUUCCCAGCACUUAUACUAUUUCUUGUGUCUGCUACAUCUUCUCGUACUUCUUGACCAAGCUGAAUCUUAAGGAAGCUGCCUGCCAUACAUUUGAAGGGCUGUUCUGUAUAGAAAGCAACAACAGUGGACAAAGUGGCCAUCGGAGCUGUGGAUUCAUACUACAGGCACCCAGCUCCAGCAAUAACCCUGGAUGCAAAAAAAAAAAAAAAAAGAAUAAAUUAUACACAGCAUGGUCCUUUAUUCUGAAACAGGGAACAAUUCCUAUGAAGUGUGGUGGCAUCCUCAACAAAAUUGCAUUUAAAUAAGCAAAAAUCAAACUUGAUUUCAAAUUACAUUAAAUUGGAUGAAAAAUUAUCUGAUAUUGCUCCAGAUCUGAAAGUUUGCUCUCAGCUGCUUCUG